AAAAAAAACUCUUCCUGUUCACCUCUUAAAACCCAAAAACACACCGCAGUAGCAUCCUAAACUAAAACUACCAAUGUGUUCCCUGUUUUCCUUUCUGAACAAUUCAAAGGUCCCUCUCUAUCUCCCCACACAUCCACCAACCACUGGAACACAUCUCCAAAGUUCUGCAGGGCCAGCUCAGCUUCCCCUCAGAAGAAGUGCUGCCACCUGCCAGAUGAAGGAGCCUUUUGAGAGGCAGCUGGCAUCGUGAUUGGACUGUACUUUGGUCUGUUCCAAUCCAGCUUCAGCUCCAGAGACGGCAGGCGGGACGAGUCAACGGAGGCCGGGUGGACGAAGGCAUGCAGCUGAGUACAAUCCAGAAAACAACAGAGGAGGAGUGCAGCGACCAAAGAACUACAGACUCUUCACAACCUGCUCAAACUCUUGGUACAGGACCUCACCACACGGGUCAAGAAGGUUUCCAUCUCAUUUCUACUCUGAAGCUCACCUUCUCCUGCUCAAACUGCUGACAAAUGUUUCUGCUGCUCUAAAGUCUGCUCUCCAGAACUUCCUAAAAACUCUCAAAGUCUCUUCUGCUGCAGGUUGCUUUGUAGAACUGUUCCAGAAAACCUCACUAAACCACAUGGAGGGGCC
ensembl:lncRNA